UGCUGCAGCUGUGGCUGAUGCUCUCGGAUGCUUCACCCUUUGCAGACAGACCGUGCAGCUCAGUUCCUCCCUCUCAUCAGUUGUAAUCAAUGAUGCAAACCGGCAGGGACCCCCAGCAAUGGAUCCCCGACCUUCUCAAAAACUGGGACUGGUUUUACUGGUUUGUGGGGCAUUGUGCCCCCCAUGACAGCUCCACUGCACGCCUCUGAGGGGCUGCUUGCACGUCCCGUGACCGGCCUCCCCCUGCUCCCGCAGAUCCACAGCUUCAUUUACCCAUUUCACACGCUCGUCUCUGCAGUUGUAGGAAGGAAGCCAGCCCUCAGCUUCCCAGCCUGUUGUACAGCAUAAUCCAUCCUCUCGCUGGAUACGCGAGGAGAUUUGGUGCAGAAAACCGGUGUUUUGGUGCUUGCUUCUGUAAUCUCCCCGAUGCCGGGGAGGCUGCAGCUCAGCCCCUUCCACACCCACAAACCUCGCUCCUUCAGCACGGUCCAGACAAGCUCAGCACAGGCAGCAAAAGCAGGGAAAAAACUUGUUCUAAUAUUUCAUUCUCAUUUAAAGAGCUCAGCCUCUUGUUGUCGUUGUUGUGGCUACCCUAGAGAGGGGGGAGCUAUUUCUUUUUUGCUGCCCAAUAAAGAUUUAGUGGUGUA